rnacentral:rRNA from 1 species
CCUACGGGAGGCAGCAGUGGGGAAUAUUGGACAAUGGGGGCAACCCUGAUCCAGCCAUGCCGCGUGUGUGAAGAAGGCCCUCGGGUUGUAAAGCACUUUCAGUGAGGAAGAACGCCUGGUGGUUAAUACCCAUCAGGAAAGACAUCACUCACAGAAGAAGCACCGGCUAACUCCGUGCCAGCAGCCGCGGUAAUACGGAGGGUGCGAGCGUUAAUCGGAAUUACUGGGCGUAAAGCGCGCGUAGGUGGCUUGAUAAGCCGGUUGUGAAAGCCCCGGGCUCAACCUGGGAACGGCAUCCGGAACUGUCAAGCUAGAGUGCAGGAGAGGAAGGUAGAAUUCCCGGUGUAGCGGUGAAAUGCGUAGAGAUCGGGAGGAAUACCAGUGGCGAAGGCGGCCUUAUGGACUGACACUGACACUGAGGUGCGAAAGCGUGGGUAGCAAACAGGAUUAGAUACCCUGGUAGUC